rnacentral:lncRNA from 1 species
UUCCUAUGAUAAUUGAGCUUUCUUAGGAUAUGAAAAACUACAGCGAGGUGCAGUUGCUAAAUCACAUGCAAAUAUUGUUUUAGUUGCUUCCUUUGUCACAUUGUAUUCUAAUGUAGAUUCCCUAUAGUAUUGGGCAACCGUCGUACGACAUGCCAGUCGUGUUAAUAUUAUUUCACAUAUUCAGAAAAGUAUUCAUCAGUUUGCCUCUUUAUACACCAUCGAAGACACCGCGGUGCUGUGAAUGUGCACGACAAGCUAAUUCUAC